ensembl:misc_RNA 7SK 7SK RNA
GGGCGUGAGGGGCUCCGGCUGUGGCAUCUGCCAUCGUUACGAUUGCCAGGGCUGAUCUGGCCGACAAGACUGGCAAGGCAGCCGGCCCCUUCCUCCCUCACUACUUCCUGUGACUCAUGCAGUAUUUUUAAAUACUUACACAUAUAUCCUAUUUUUAGGUAUGUCUUCCAUAAAAAUGCAUUGAUGUUUUUAAUCAGUGUUUUAAGGCUUUUAUCAAAAAAGAAACCAAGUCUUGUCUCAUAGCUGUAUUUCAUUGUUACGUGUUUUCAGUUGAAAUUCCAA